ensembl:lncRNA
GGUUAUUUAACAGAAAUAAUUGAAUAGCACCAGUGGACAGUCAGCCGUUUGCUGUGAAUCUAGAAGUCUGGAGAACAGCAGGACACUGCUGCUGAGUUCAAACAGCUUACUAUUAUCUGGACAUGAGGGCUGUGUUUCAUUUCUGUGCUUAAGAAGAGGCCAAAAAAAGCACACAUCUUACUUCUGACUUUAAAGAUGAAUGGCAGGCUGCAAGUUUCUGCAGAUUAAGUUAUGCUAAUGGCACAAUGGCAAACAGGACAGAAGAACGGCAGGUCUCCACAGAAGUCGUCAUGAAGCCAUCAGUGAGGAGGUGAGGAGGAUAUUUCAGGCACCAUCCUCCUGCAUCCAAAUGGGGACACAGUUACCCACUGCAGGAGGUGAGGAUGGAUGCAUUGACGAAGACCCGUGUUACUACACUCCUCGCUCGCUUUCAGGAAGGAAAUCUUCCAUGCCAGGAGCAGAAAGGAGGGGUGACACAAAGAUGGAGUGUGACUUCCUGCGUUCCAGAGAGCACGCCGGGUGCUGGGGCUGAGGCUGGCUUCGUGUCACAGGGGUAUGCUCCAUAACUCACAACACAAAUGUUCGUGGAGGAAGUGUCUCAGAGAGUGUUUCUGUCCCCUUGUUCUUCGUUGAGCAGAUAUUUCAUCUGCUCUCAGGAGGGAAGCAGAGCCCAAUGGAGAGCCUAACAGAACGCAGCAUGGAUAAUCCUGAGCUGUGCCCCGAGUCCUUGCUUGUUGGAGCGCAGACUGAGUUUGUGACUGCUCAGUUUAUUUCACUCUGUGCUGCUGUCUCGUUCUGAGGUAGAUCCAAAAUGGCACCAAUGAAGUAGAAAUGAUCCAAAUGAUGGAACAUCUCAUGGCAACGGCUUCUUCUGGAGGGCAUUUGGCAGCUCUGUCACAGCCAUGGGAGGGCUGAUGUGCAGCUGCCACGUUGCUCAGAAGUCACACUGGAGGACUUUAAAGGUGUGCGUGCAUGUGACUUCAAUUCCUUUGAUUUCAGCUCCGUGGUUGUGAAAUAACUUUCAGUGGGGAUUUCAUGUCAGCUAAGUUUAGCUCUUGGCUGUUGAGAGGAAGAGGGACUACACUGAUGGCUCUGCAAAUGAGCUCUGGGUUGAGUAGGGAAGGAAAAUGGACCUGGCACCUGAACUGACCUCCCCCAGCGCAGUCCUCAGGUCCUCACCUGAGAUGCUGAAAUCUGUAUUGAUAUUGUCAUCUAUAUCUCAACAUAUGUAACUUUUCCAUGCUUGCAGAGAAACAAAUGGAGUUUUUUUUUCGUCAUCUGCAUUCCAGCAAUCAUCAGAGAGCCCCUGGCUCCCAGAAGCUCUCCCUGGUGUUUGGAGCAAUUAAAUGCACAGAAUGCCCAUAGCUUUGUAACAGAGGGGAAUCAUUAUGGGGAAUCAUUAUUGCAUUGGUGUGAUUUUGCUAGUGCUGCAACCCAUUCUUUGCAGCCUAAAGCACGGGGCACAGGCAGCCCAAUGGGAAAGGUAGGGAAACAGUGGAAGGAAAGCAUGUGCAGGAGCUUUCUGCAUUUGGGAUGUAUCACACGUAGUGGUGGAGCUGUGCUAAUCAAGAUCUGGAGAAUCUGGUUCCCCAUCUGAAGUGAGCAUCCCUUUUGUAUUAGUCCCUGAAGUUAUUUUAACUCGCGUUGACACAAAUUAAACAGGAAUCUUGCUGUCCAUUGAUUUUGUCAGCGGUGUGUUUUUUU